rnacentral:rRNA from 1 species
GCUUUUGUGGGGUGCUCGAGUGGCGAACGGGUGAGUAACACGUGAGUAACCUGCCCUUGACUUUGGGAUAACUUCAGGAAACUGGGGCUAAUACCGGAUCGGAGCUCCUGCUGCAUGGUGGGGGUUGGAAAGUUUCGGCGGUUGGGGAUGGACUCGCGGCUUAUCAGCUUGUUGGUGGGGUAGUGGCUUACCAAGGCUUUGACGGGUAGCCGGCCUGAGAGGGUGACCGGCCACAUUGGGACUGAGAUACGGCCCAGACUCCUACGGGAGGCAGCAGUGGGGAAUAUUGCACAAUGGGCGGAAGCCUGAUGCAGCAACGCCGCGUGCGGGAUGACGGCCUUCGGGUUGUAAACCGCUUUCGCCUGUGACGAAGCGUGAGUGACGGUAAUGGGUAAAGAAGCACCGGCUAACUACGUGCCAGCAGCCGCGGUGAUACGUAGGGUGCGAGCGUUGUCCGGAUUUAUUGGGCGUAAAGGGCUCGUAGGUGGUUGAUCGCGUCGGAAGUGUAAUCUUGGGGCUUAACCCUGAGCGUGCUUUCGAUACGGGUUGACUUGAGGAAGGUAGGGGAGAAUGGAAUUCCUGGUGGAGCGGUGGAAUGCGCAGAUAUCAGGAGGAACACCAGUGGCGAAGGCGGUUCUCUGGGCCUUUCCUGGCGCUGAGGAGCGAAAGCGUGGGGAGCGAACAGGCUUAGAUACCCUGGUAGUCCACGCUGUAAACGGUGGGUACUAGGUGUGGGGUCCAUUCCACGGGUUCCGUGCCGUAGCUAACGCUUUAAGUACCCCGCCUGGGGAGUAC